UAACUAUUUGAUUGAUUGUUCACUCAAAAAAUACAUCUAUUGUUGGCCUUGUGAUCUCGGGAGAUGGAAUAGGGAGAUAGAAUGUGCAGAUGAACUAAGUAUGGUUCUUAUUUCUUUAUAAAAUAAAGAAUUUGAAUUAAUGUCUAGGAUAGGGAUGUGCUUAGAUUCCUUACUUGAUUCAAACGUAGGAUAAUAGCUUAAAGAACUUAAUUGGAUUAUC
rnacentral:lncRNA from 1 species